rnacentral:rRNA from 1 species
CACCAUAGACUGUGAGUUGCGAACGGGUGAGUAACGCGUAGGUAACCUGCCUAUUAGAGGGGGAUAACUAUUGGAAACGAUAGCUAAUACCGCAUAACAGUAUGUAACACAUGUUAGAUGCUUGAAAGAUGCAAUUGCAUCGCUAGUAGAUGGACCUGCGUUGUAUUAGCUAGUAGGUAGGGUAAAGGCCUACCUAGGCAACGAUACAUAGCCGACCUGAGAGGGUGAUCGGCCACACUGGGACUGAGACACGGCCCAGACUCCUACGGGAGGCAGCAGUAGGGAAUCUUCGGCAAUGGGGGGAACCCUGACCGAGCAACGCCGCGUGAGUGAAGAAGGUUUUCGGAUCGUAAAGCUCUGUUGUUAAGGAAGAACGAGUGUGAGAAUGGAAAGUUCAUACUGUGACGGUACUUAACCAGAAAGGGACGGCUAACUACGUGCCAGCAGCCGCGGUAAUACGUAGGUCCCGAGCGUUGUCCGGAUUUAUUGGGCGUAAAGCGAGCGCAGGCGGUUAGAUAAGUCUGAAGUGAAAGGCAGUGGCUCAACCAUUGUAGGCUUUGGAAACUGUUUAACUUGAGUGCAGAAGGGGAGAGUGGAAUUCCAUGUGUAGCGGUGAAAUGCGUAGAUAUAUGGAGGAGCACCGGUGGCGAAAGCGGCUCUCUGGUCUGUAACUGACGCUGAGGCUCGAAAGCGUGGGGAGCGAACAGGAUUAGAUACCCUGGUAGUCCACGCCGUAAACGAUGAGUGCUAGGUGUUAGGUCCUUUCCGGGACUUA